GCAUGCCUUACACAUGCAAGUCGAACGGCAGCACGGAGCUUGCUCUGGUGGCGAGUGGCGAACGGGUGAGUAAUAUAUCGGAACGUACCCUAGAGUGGGGGAUAACGUAGCGAAAGUUACGCUAAUACCGCAUACGAUCUAAGGAUGAAAGUGGGGGAUCGCAAGACCUCAUGCUCGUGGAGCGGCCGAUAUCUGAUUAGCUAGUUGGUAGGGUAAAAGCCUACCAAGGCAUCGAUCAGUAGCUGGUCUGAGAGGACGACCAGCCACACUGGAACUGAGACACGGUCCAGACUCCUACGGGAGGCAGCAGUGGGGAAUUUUGGACAAUGGGCGAAAGCCUGAUCCAGCAAUGCCGCGUGAGUGAAGAAGGCCUUCGGGUUGUAAAGCUCUUUUGUCAGGGAAGAAACGGUGAGAGCUAAUAUCUCUUGCUAAUGACGGUACCUGAAGAAUAAGCACCGGCUAACUACGUGCCAGCAGCCGCGGUAAUACGUAGGGUGCAAGCGUUAAUCGGAAUUACUGGGCGUAAAGCGUGCGCAGGCGGUUUUGUAAGUCUGAUGUGAAAUCCCCGGGCUCAACCUGGGAAUUGCAUUGGAGACUGCAAGGCUAGAAUCUGGCAGAGGGGGGUAGAAUUCCACGUGUAGCAGUGAAAUGCGUAGAUAUGUGGAGGAACACCGAUGGCGAAGGCAGCCCCCUGGGUCAAGAUUGACGCUCAUGCACGAAAGCGUGGGGAGCAAACAGGAUUAGAUACCCUGGUAGUCCACGCCCUAAACGAUGUCUACUAGUUGUCGGGUCUUAAUUGACUUGGUAACGCAGCUAACGCGUGAAGUAGACCGCCUGGGGAGUACGGUCGCAAGAUUAAAACUCAAAGGAAUGACG
rnacentral:rRNA from 1 species